rnacentral:rRNA from 1 species
UACGUAGGGUGCAAGCGUUGUCCGGAAUUACUGGGCGUAAAGAGCUCGUAGGUGGUUUGUCGCGUUGUCCGUGAAAACUCACAGCUUAACUGUGGGCGUGCGGCGAUACGGGCAGACUGGAGUACUGCAGGGAGACUGGAAUUCUGGUGUAGCGGUGGAAUGCGCAGAUAUCAGGAGGAACACCGGUGGCGAAGGCGGAUCUCUGGGCCAUUACUGACGCUGAGGAGCGAAAGCGUGGGGAGCGAACAGGA